UCAGUUCUCAUCAGAACACAGCGUGGACAUGAGGACCCUCACUCAGCUCCUGGGGUUCCUGCUGCUCUGGAUUCCAUGUGCCAGAUGUGACAUCCAGGUGACGCAGUCUCCAGCCUCCCUGUCUGCAUCUACAGGAGGCACAGUCUCCAUCACUUGUCGGGCCAGCCAGAGCAUUAGCAAUGCGUUAAGCUGGUACCAGCAGAAACCAGGGAAAGCUCCUAUACUUCUAAUCUAUGGUGCAAAGUAUUUAGCAUCUGGGAUCCCCUCCAGAUUUAGUGGCAGUAGAUCUGGGACACAGUACACUCUCACCAUCAGCAGCCUGCAGCCUGAAGAUGUUGCCACUUAUUACUGUCAACAGUAUUAUAAUUACCCUCCCACAGUGAUACAAGCCAUAACAUAA